UUAUACAUGCAAGUCGAGCGAAUGGAUUAAGAGCUUGCUCUUAUGAAGUUAGCGGCGGACGGGUGAGUAACACGUGGGUAACCUGCCCAUAAGACUGGGAUAACUCCGGGAAACCGGGGCUAAUACCGGAUAACAUUUUGAACCGCAUGGUUCGAAAUUGAAAGGCGGCUUCGGCUGUCACUUAUGGAUGGACCCGCGUCGCAUUAGCUAGUUGGUGAGGUAACGGCUCACCAAGGCAACGAUGCGUAGCCGACCUGAGAGGGUGAUCGGCCACACUGGGACUGAGACACGGCCCAGACUCCUACGGGAGGCAGCAGUAGGGAAUCUUCCGCAAUGGACGAAAGUCUGACGGAGCAACGCCGCGUGAGUGAUGAAGGCUUUCGGGUCGUAAAACUCUGUUGUUAGGGAAGAACAAGUGCUAGUUGAAUAAGCUGGCACCUUGACGGUACCUAACCAGAAAGCCACGGCUAACUACGUGCCAGCAGCCGCGGUAAUACGUAGGUGGCAAGCGUUAUCCGGAAUUAUUGGGCGUAAAGCGCGCGCAGGUGGUUUCUUAAGUCUGAUGUGAAAGCCCACGGCUCAACCGUGGAGGGUCAUUGGAAACUGGGAGACUUGAGUGCAGAAGAGGAAAGUGGAAUUCCAUGUGUAGCGGUGAAAUGCGUAGAGAUAUGGAGGAACACCAGUGGCGAAGGCGACUUUCUGGUCUGUAACUGACACUGAGGCGCGAAAGCGUGGGGAGCAAACAGGAUUAG
rnacentral:rRNA from 1 species